rnacentral:tRNA from 1 species
GCCGGAGUGGUGGAAUGGGCAGACACGCUGGACUUAAAAUCCAGUGGGGCAACCCGUGCGGGUUCGAGUCCCGCCUCCGGCACCA